rnacentral:rRNA from 1 species
AGAGUUUGAUCAUGGCUCAGAUUGAACGCUGGCGGCAGGCCUAAGACAUGCAAGUCGAACGGUAACGACACUAGCUUGCUAGUGGUCGACGAGUGGCGGACGGGUGAGUAACGCGUAGGAAUCUACCUAGUAGUGGGGGAUAGCCAAGGGAAACUUUGGGUAAUACCGCAUACGAUCUAAGGAUGAAAGGGGGCCUCUCUUUGAAGCUCUCGCUAUUAGAUGAGCCUGCGUAAGAUUAGCUUGUUGGUGGGGUAAUGGCCCACCAAGGCGACGAUCUUUAGCUGGUCUGAGAGGAUGAUCAGUCACACUGGAACUGAGACACGGUCCAGACUCCUACGGGAGGCAGCAGUCGGGAAUAUUGGACAAUGGGGGAAACCCUGAUCCAGCCAUGCCGCGUGUGUGAAGAAGGCCCUAGGGUUGUAAAGCACUUUUAGUAGUGAGGAAGGCUCAGUAGUUAAUACCUACUGGGAUUGACGUUAGCUACAGAAAAAGCACCGGCUAAUUUCGUGCCAGCAGCCGCGGUAAUACGAAAGGUGCAAGCGUUAAUCGGAAUUACUGGGCGUAAAGCGCGCGUAGGUGGUUUGUUAAGUUGGAUGUGAAAGCCCUGGGCUCAACCUAGGAACUGCAUCCAAAACUAACUCACUAGAGUACGAUAGAGGGAGGUAGAAUUCAUAGUGUAGCGGUGGAAUGCGUAGAUAUUAUGAAGAAUACCAGUGGCGAAGGCGGCCUCCUGGAUCUGUACUGACACUGAGGUGCGAAAGCGUGGGUAGCGAACAGGAUUAGAUACCCUGGUAGUCCACGCCGUAAACGAUGACAACUAGCUGUUGGAAGACAACGUCUUUCAGUGGCGCAGCUAACGUUUUAAGUUGUCCGCCUGGGGAGUACGGCCGCAAGGUUAAAACUCAAAUGAAUUGACGGGGACCCGCACAAGCGGUGGAGCAUGUGGUUUAAUUCGAAGCAACGCGCAGAACCUUA